CCUACGGGAGGCAGCAGUGAGGAAUAUUGGUCAAUGGUCGGGAGACUGAACCAGCCAAGCCGCGUGAGGGAUGAAGGUACAGAGUAUCGUAAACCUCUUUUGUCAGGGAACAAAGGCGGGGACGUGUCCCCGGAUGAGUGUACCUGAAGAAAAAGCAUCGGCUAACUCCGUGCCAGCAGCCGCGGUAAUACGGAGGAUGCGAGCGUUAUCCGGAUUUAUUGGGUUUAAAGGGUGCGCAGGCGGUCUGUUAAGUCAGUGGUCAAAUUGAGGGGCUCAACCCCUUCCCGCCAUUGAAACUGGCGCUCUUGAGUGGAAGAGAAGUAUGCGGAAUGCGUGGUGUAGCGGUGAAAUGCAUAGAUAUCACGCAGAACCCCGAUUGCGAAGGCAGCAUGCCGGCUUCCGACUGACGCUGAAGCACGAAAGCGUGGGGAUCGAACAGGAUUAGAUACCCUUGUAGUC
rnacentral:rRNA from 1 species